GUGCAGUGUCAGUAGUAACAUGCAGUGUCAGUAGUAACAUGCAGUGUCAGUACUAACAUGCAGUGUCAGUAGUAACAUGCAGUGUCAGUAGUAACAUGCAGUGUCAGUACUAACAUGCAGUGUCAGUAGUAACAUGCAGUGUCAGUAGUAACAUGCAGUGUCAGUACUAACAUGCAGUGUCAGUACUAACAUCCAGUAUCAGUAGUUCUUCCUGAUAUCAAUAAUUCAUCGCUUUGUGCUCUGGAGCAUGGAGCAUCAGUUCAGCAGCUCAUAUUAAAACACACACACAGACACACACGCACGCACACACACACACACACUCCCUACUGUGGUGUAGACGCAGGGUUAUAAUGUGUGUAUCAGUGGGGUUUAUCGGAUGUUCUGGAUGCAGCGACGCACUAAACUAAACCACAGGCACCUAUUACAUUUAUUAGUAAAUGAUUAGUAAAUCAAGCUCAUUCUGUUCCCUCUGUUUCAGCAUGGAGGAGGCGUGUCACUCGCUUCAUUUACAUCCUAAUUCAUUCCAUUUACGUGUGUGUCUGUGUGUGUGUGUGUGUGUGUGUGUAGCAGAUGGAGCUCUGCAGUGGCAGUUUAUCUCCACUGUGAGAGUCCAUGUGACUGCUGUUCACACUGAGACAGAGCGAGAGAGAGAGAGAGAGAGAGAGGAGAGAGACUAUAUAUAGACAGUGAGAGACCCAGACAGAAAGACAGAUCCAAAGAAAGAUCUCUCUCUCUCUCUCUCUCUCUCUCUCUCUCUCUCUCAGUUCCAGCUCUUCCUCUCAGUUUCAAUCUGUCUUUUGGUUUAGCAUUAAUUGUAAGAGCUGUAUAGCAGUCACUCAUCCCGUCUAUACCUUAAUAUCCAUCUUAAUGGCUCUCUCUCUUUCAUCCGUUAUUUCUCUGUCUUUUCCGGUGGAUGGAAAGGCAGCGUGGACGAGGACAGAUGUAUUUUAAAGAUUUAGUUGUGAACCAGUCGAGAAUCUUCUUCUCUCUGAGGUAAACACUGCGGAGGUGUCACGGCUCAGCAGCAGCUGCCGUCUCUCUCUGAAAUGUUAGUCAGAGGUCUGUGUUUUCCUCUCGCUGACGCCGUCACGUCUGAACAUAAGACACACACACACACACACACACACACACGCCGGCUGCAGAUUCAGAAAGAUAGCCG
ensembl:lncRNA